CUGCUUUGGUAGCAUGUAUAGUAAAAUCGAAACCAUACAGAGAAGAUUAGCAUUGCCCCUGAGCAAGGACGACAUGAAAAUUCAUAAAAUGUUCCAUAUUUUU